CACGACCCUCCCAGGAAUAUCGGUCUGUAACGGAGGCACAGGAGAGUGCACCUUAGCAGGCUGUUCUGGCAGUUAUCAAAUGUACGCACUGGAGGGGAGGGAACAAAACAAAACCAAAGCCAAAACCACAAAACUGGAUGCCAUGAGUGUAACGAGGUAUGAUGUGAACUACAUAGAGAAAACAAGGAUGGGAUUUAGGUCCAGUGGCGUUCCUCAGCCCUCUAGUUCUCCCGGUGCUUUGCUGGAAGUUUCAAAGACCAGCUUUCUGGGCCAUGACAUCUACUUAAAAGAUAACAGUCUCCAAAUGGGAUUAUUUUCCUGGCUAAGGCAAGAAAGACCUGUUUUCAAAUGCUUGCUGUGAAUCAAGUAGACGAAAGCCUUGAAUCUGUCAAGAGGAGGCGCAUGCUCUACUCGCAGUUGCCAACACCAUCAGGUCAGCAACGUUGCGAUGACACCGACAGUCAGGUAACUUUUGGUUCAUUUUCUUAACUACAUUGAUUCGCUGACGGUGCAAAGGUGUUGCAGAUGGGUGGCCUGGGAAAGCCGCGCUAACAGUCAUGAACUAACUGUGAGGUACUCAGGCCCGCGAGCAGCGCGUGGUGCUUGCCAGCCCACGCUUUAAUGAAGUUUGAUGCACAACUUCAGUGUGACCUUGGUUUGUACAAGAGCGGAACAUCGCGAGUUACGUCAAUAAAACCUGAAUAAGGUUUGUUGUCUUUUUUUUCCCCACUGAAAAGAGUCUCUGACACCUGACUAUAAAUAAAUAAUUAAUAUAUAUGAAUAUAUAAAUAUUCAUUGGUAAAACAUAACAGAUAGUGUUAGAUUUAAUUUUGGUGGGGCUGGGGGCUGCGUUUGGGUUUAUGCCAGAAGAAACUAAACAACUUAGGAUGUUGUUAAUUAAUAUAUAACAUUAGAAACAGUAGUUAAAGUUGGAGUUACAAAUGUAGAUACGGGAGCGUUUCCAUAUGCAUUUGCUGGAGAUGCUUAAAGAAAGAAGCUCAGCUCACCCAGGAAGUGAUGAAGUCUACUACAAUGCACCA